GAUGAACGCUGGCGGCGUGCCUAAUACAUGCAAGUCGAGCGAACAGACGAGGAGCUUGCUCCUCUGACGUUAGCGGCGGACGGGUGAGUAACACGUGGAUAACCUACCUAUAAGACUGGGAUAACUUCGGGAAACCGGAGCUAAUACCGGAUAAUAUAUUGAACCGCAUGGUUCAAUAGUGAAAGACGGUUUUGCUGUCACUUAUAGAUGGAUCCGCGCCGCAUUAGCUAGUUGGUAAGGUAACGGCUUACCAAGGCAACGAUGCGUAGCCGACCUGAGAGGGUGAUCGGCCACACUGGAACUGAGACACGGUCCAGACUCCUACGGGAGGCAGCAGUAGGGAAUCUUCCGCAAGGGGCGAAAGCCUGACGGAGCAACGCCGCGUGAGUGAUGAAGGUCUUCGGAUCGUAAGACUCUGUUAUUAGGGAAGAACAAAUGUGUAAGUAACUAUGCACGUCUUGACGGUACCUAAUCAGAAAGCCACGGCUAACUACGUG
rnacentral:rRNA from 1 species